GUGAUUAAGUGGAGUGAGGACUUCGGUCUGAGUGAAACUUAUGAAAGCGGCGGACGGGUGAGUAACGCGUGGGCAACCUGCCUCAUACAAAGGGAUAGCCACUGGAAACGGUGAUUAAUACCUUAUAAGUCGGUAGGAUCGCAUGAUGUAGCCGACAAAGAUUUAUCGGUAUGAGAUGGGCCCGCGUCUGAUUAGCUAGUUGGUAAGGUAACGGCUUACCAAGGCGACGAUCAGUAGCCGACCUGAGAGGGUGAUCGGCCACACUGGAACUGAGACACGGUCCAGACUCCUACGGGAGGCAGCAGUGGGGAAUAUUGCACAAUGGGCGCAAGCCUGAUGCAGCAACGCCGCGUGAGUGAUGAAGGCCUUCGGGUUGUAAAACUCUGUCCUAUGGGAAGAAACAAAUGAAGGUACCAUGGGAGGAAGCCCCGGCUAACUACGUG
rnacentral:rRNA from 1 species